GAUGAACGCUGGCGGCGUGCCUAAUACAUGCAAGUCGAGCGAACGGACGAGAAGCUUGCUUCUCUGAUGUUAGCGGCGGACGGGUGAGUAACACGUGGAUAACCUACCUAUAAGACUGGGAUAACUUCGGGAAACCGGAGCUAAUACCGGAUAAUAUUUUGAACCGCAUGGUUCAAAAGUGAAAUACGGUCUUGCUGUCACUUAUAGAUGGAUCCGCGCUGCAUUAGCUAGUUGGUAAGGUAACGGCUUACCAAGGCAACGAUGCAUAGCCGACCUGAGAGGGUGAUCGGCCACACUGGAACUGAGACACGGUCCAGACUCCUACGGGAGGCAGCAGUAGGGAAUCUUCCGCAAAGGGCGAAAGCCUGACGGAGCAACGCCGCGUGAGUGAUGAAGGUCUUCGGAUCGUAAAACUCUGUUAUUAGGGAAGAACAUAUGUGUAAGUAACUGUGCACAUCUUGACGGUACCUAAUCAGAAAGCCACGGCUAACUACGUG
rnacentral:rRNA from 1 species